rnacentral:pre_miRNA from 1 species
GCCGCUGUAAACAUCCGACUGAAAGCUCUUCUCAACACCUUACAGCUUCCAGUCAAGGAUGUUUACAGUAGC